rnacentral:rRNA from 1 species
CCACAGCCAUAUCACCCUACAGCCCAAGUCUGGUUACUCACUGAAGCUAAGCAGGGCUGAGCCUGGUUAGUACCUGGAUGGGAGACCACAUGGGAAAACUAGGUUGCGUUUGGA